rnacentral:rRNA from 1 species
UACAGAGGUCCCAAGCGUUGUUCGGAUUCACUGGGCGUAAAGGGUGCGUAGGUGGUGAGGUAAGUCGGAUGUGAAAUCUCCGAGCUCAACUCGGAAAUGGCAUUGGAAACUACCUCGCUAGAGGGUUUGAGGGGGGACUGGAAUUCUCGGUGUAGCAGUGAAAUGCGUAGAUAUCGAGAGGAACACCAGUGGCGAAGGCGAGUCCCUGGAAAACUCCUGACACUGAGGCACGAAAAGCUAGGGGAGCAAACGGG